AUAUUUUCAGCAUGACAAAAACGGUGGACUGAAUCUGGUCUUUUUGCUAUUUUAGUCAAAUUGAAAAACUUGAUAUUGGACCUGCAGAAUUGUUUUUUUAUCUUCUUUGGCAUUCAUCCACUUUGGGAAAAGUUUACCUGAUAUUGUUUUCGUUAAUGUCCGCCAAAUAAUUUAUUCAUUAUGCAUGCUUGUUAUAUAAUUUGUGCCCCCUUAGUCUCUUAUUGACCAAUUUGAACAUGGUGUAGGUUGUGAAAGCACAACACUCGACUCAAGGAAGGGAAUGCACUAUCAUACAUGUUGGAAUACCCUGGAUUGGACCUGAGCAUAGCUUUCUGAAAGAUCGAGGUUGUGCCGAAUAGUAUAUGAUCACUGAUGAAGAAGCAUUGGAAGGUACGGGGGAUGCUAUUUGCUAAAGAUGUCCGUAAACAGCUGUCUCAAAUAAUGCAGAAGAUUGCAAAAGGUUUGCCAUAACAGACUUGAAGGUUACAGAGAUUAUAUACUUGUACUCAAGUUUUUGGGUUGGAUUUCAAUGGAAUUCAUCUGUCAGAAUUAGAAAAAUAGCUGGAACCAAAAAACAAACUCGAAUCCUUUC